rnacentral:rRNA from 1 species
GUAAGGAAUAUUGGGCAAUGGGCGCAAGCCUGACCCAGCCAUGCCGCGUGAAGGAUGACGGCCCUAUGGGUUGUAAACUUCUUUUGUACGGGAAAAAACCACCGGUCGUGACCGGUGCUGAUGGUACCGUAAGAAUAAGCAUCGGCUAACUCCGUGCCAGCAGCCGCGGUAAUACGGAGGAUGCAAGCGUUAUCCGGAUUCAUUGGGUUUAAAGGGUGCGCAGGCGGAAUAAUAAGUCAGUGGUGAAAUCCUACGGCUCAACUGUAGAACUGCCAUUGAUACUGUUAUUCUUGAGUACACUUGAAGUGGGCGGAAUGUGUCAUGUAGCGGUGAAAUGCUUAGAUAUGACACAGAACACCGAUCGCGAAGGCAGCUCACUAAAUUGUAACUGACGCUCAUGCACGAAAGCGUGGGGAUCAAACAGGAUUAGAUACCCCUUAGUCC